CAGUCGAACGAGAGAGAGGGAGCUUGCUUCCUCAAUCGAGUGGCGAACGGCCGUGUAACGCGUGAGGAACCUGCCUCAAAGAGGGGGACAACAGUUGGAAACGACUGCUAAUACCGCAUAAGCCCACAGGUCGGCAUCGACCAGAGGGAAAAGGAGCAAUCCGCUUUGAGAUGGCCUCGCGUCCGAUUAGCUAGUUGGUGAGGUAACGGCCUACCAAGGCAACGAUCAGUAGCCGGUCUGAGAGGAUGAACGGCCACAUUGGAACUGAGACACGGUCCAAACUCCUACGGGAGGCAGCAGUGGGGAAUAUUGCACAAUGGGGGAAACCCUGAUGCAGCAACGCCGCGUGAGUGAAGAAGUAUUUCGGUAUGUAAAGCUCUAUCAGCAGGGAAGAUAAUGACGGUACCUGACUAAGAAGCUCCGGCUAAAUACGUGCCAGCAGCCGCGGUAAUACGUAUGGAGCAAGCGUUAUCCGGAUUUACUGGGUGUAAAGGGUGCGUAGGUGGCAGUGCAAGUCAGAUGUGAAAGGCCGGGGCUCAACCCCGGAGCUGCAUUUGAAACUGCUCGGCUAGAGUACAGGAGAGGCAGGCGGAAUUCCUAGUGUAGCGGUGAAAUGCGUAGAUAUUAGGAGGAACACCAGUGGCGAAGGCGGCCUGCUGGACUGUUACUGACACUGAGGCACGAAAGCGUGGGGAGCAAACAGGAUUAGAUACCCUGGUAGUCCACGCC
rnacentral:rRNA from 1 species